GGGGGUAAAGAGUGUUUGGCCUUUUUAUUUCACAUGUUUUCAUGUUUUGACGUUUUAUUUCUCGUUUUCUUGUAUUUGGAUUCAUCGCACAUGUACGUUAUUUUUGUUUCCCCUUAUUCAUUUUCCGUGUUUUUGUGUUGGUACUCCUAAUUUUUCGUGUUUGUCCCACAUUCAAGAUAAUAAAAAAAAGGGACUCAAUGUCGAAGUCAGUUUGGAGAUUGUUUUGAAUUGUGUGUUACCAGGAUAUUAAUUGCGAUCAAGUUAUGAAUACUUUUUUCUCCCGAAUCGGAUGCAACUAGCAGA
rnacentral:lncRNA from 1 species